GGGCCGGUGGUGUAGUUGGUUAUCACGUCUGUCUAACACACAGACGGUCCUCAGUUCAAGUCUGGGCCGGCUCA
rnacentral:tRNA from 1 species